GACGAACGCUGGCGGCGUGCUUAACACAUGCAAGUCGAACGGAAAGGCCCUGCUUUUGUGGGGUGCUCGAGUGGCGAACGGGUGAGUAACACGUGAGUAACCUGCCCUUGACUUUGGGAUAACUUCAGGAAACUGGGGCUAAUACCGGAUAGGAUCUCCUGCUGCAUGGUGGGGGUUGGAAAGUUUCGGCGGUUGGGGAUGGACUCGCGGCUUAUCAGCUUGUUGGUGGGGUAGUGGCUUACCAAGGCUUUGACGGGUAGCCGGCCUGGGAGGGUGGCCGGCCACAUUGGGACUGAGAUAGGGCCCAGACUCCUACGGGAGGCAGCAGUGGGGAAUAUUGCACAAUGGGCGGAAGCGUGAUGCAGCAACGCCGCGUGCGGGAUGACGGCCUUCGGGUUGUAAACCGCUUUCGACUGUGACGAAGCGUGAGUGACGGUAAUGGGUAAAGAAGCACCGGCUAACUACGUG
rnacentral:rRNA from 1 species